rnacentral:rRNA from 1 species
CCAAUAGCGUAUAUUAAAGUUGUUGCAGUUAAAAAGCUCGUAGUUGAAUUUCGGGGUCAGUAGGCUGGUCGUGCCACAGGUAUGUACUGGUCUUACUGAUUCCUCCUUCCUGAUGAACCGUGAUGCCAUUAAUUUGGUGUUGCGGGGAAUCUGGACUGUUACUUUGAAAAAAUUAGAGUGUUUAAAGCAGGCUAACGCUUGAAUACAUUAGCAUGGAAUAAUGAAAUAGGACGAUCGAUCCUAUUUUGUUGGUUUCUAGGAUUGACGUAAUGAUUAAUAGGGAUAGUUGGGGGCAUUAGUAUUCAAUUGUCAGAGGUGAAAUUCUUGGAUUUAUUGAAGACUAACUACUGCGAAAGCAUUUGCCAAGGAUGUUUUCAUUAAUCAAGAACGAAAGUUAGGGGAUCGAAGACGAUCAGAUACCGUCGUAGUCUUAACCAUAAACUAUGCCGACUAGGGAUCGGAUGAUGUUAAUUUUUUAAUGACUCAUUCGGCGCCUUACG